rnacentral:rRNA from 1 species
AGAGUUUGAUCCUGGCUCAGGAUGAACGCUAGCGGCAGGCUUAACACAUGCAAGUCGAGGGGCAUCGCGGAGUAGCAAUACUCUGGCGGCGACCGGCGAAAGGGUGAGUAACGCGUGAGCAACAUGCCCGUGUGAGGGGGAUAGUCAUUGGAAACGAUGCGUAAUACCCCGUAAUAUUCGGAACCGCAUGAUUCUGGAUUGAAAGAUUUAUCGCACACGGAUUGGCUCGCGUACCAUUAGCUAGUUGGCGGGGUAACGGCCCACCAAGGCGACGAUGGUUAGGGGUUCUGAGAGGAAGGUCCCCCACAUUGGAACUGAGACACGGUCCAGACUCCUACGGGAGGCAGCAGUGAGGAAUAUUGGACAAUGGCCGGGAGGCUGAUCCAGCCAUGCCGCGUGCGGGAGGACGGCCCUAUGGGUUGUAAACCGCUUUUGUCGGGGGGCAAUAAGGUCCACGUGUGGACUGAUGAGAGUACCUGGCGAAUAAGCAUCGGCUAACUCCGUGCCAGCAGCCGCGGUAAUACGGAGGAUGCGAGCGUUAUCCGGAUUUAUUGGGUUUAAAGGGUGCGUAGGCGGAGACUUAAGCGUGAGGUGAAAUGCCCGGGCUCAACCUGGGAAUUGCCUCGCGAACUGGGUUUCUUGAAUGUCCGUGCCGUGGGAGGAAUGUGUGGUGUAGCGGUGAAAUGCAUAGAGAUCACACAGAACACCGAUUGCGAAGGCAUCUCACGAACGGAUGAUUGACGCUGAGGCACGAAAGCGUGGGGAUCAAACAGGAUUAGAUACCCUGGUAGUCCACGCAGUAAACGAUGAUAACUAACCGCUGGGCUGUUGUGGUUCAGUGGCCAAGCGAAAGCGAUAAGUUAUCCACCUGGGGAGUACGACCGCAAGGUUGAAACUCAAAGGAAUUGACGGGGGCCCGCACAAGCGGAGGAACAUGUGGUUUAAUUCGAUGAUACG